GCGCAAACCUCGCGCUUUUUGCUCACCCUUCCAGGACGCGGCCUCCUCGCUUCUUAAAAUGUCUGAGCUCUACGAAGUGGAACCGUUAGCCCUCCGUUUGUUGCCUUACUUCACACUGAAAUAAGCCAACGUUUAUUUUAUUUUAUUUAUUUUAUUAUUUAUUUUAUUAUUUUUUUUCGAGACGGAGUCUCGCUCUGUCCCAGGCUGGAGUGCCGUGGCGGGAUCUCGACUCACUGCAACCUCCGCCUCCGUGUUCAAGCUAUUCUACCUCAGCCUCCCGAGUAGCUGGGAUUACAGGUGCCCGCCACCACGCCCGGCUAAUUUUUGUAUUUUUAGUAGAGAUGGGGUUUCACCAUGUUGGCCAGGCUGAUCUCGAACUGCUGACCUUGUGAUCCUCCCGCCUCAGCCUCCCAAAGUGCUGGGAUUACAGGCGUGAGCCACCGCGCCCGGCCCCCAACGUUCCUUUUUAAGCCUGUCGUAUCUCACAUUAAAUGUGUAAGUCUCUGAACUGUAGGGCUUUGAACAAAGGAAAGUUCCAUGAGAAUACUAUAUGAUGCCAAUUUCUACUGUUAGGAACGCGAUAACAGAGUGCAGUGGGGGAGAAAAUACGGUCCUCAAGAUCUGAGAAACUGGAGAGGAAAAGUCACAGGACAACCAACUUCUCUAUGACAUAGCCCAGCAUCUGAGGAAAGUCCUGCAAUAGUGGAGGUGGAGCAGAGGGUAUGAGCUGGGAAGCAAAUGGAGCAGGAGCUGGAGGCUGCCCCAUCCACUCCAAGCCAGAGAACAAGCAGAGGCUGCCACAGGAGAUCCUGGGCAAGUAAUCAGCCACAGCAUCUAGAUUAGCAUGAAGGAAACACUAGCCAAAUUAAAAGAUGAAACUUCCAAAAG